CGGAGCAAUGCCGCGUGCAGGAUGAAGCCUUUCGGGGUGUAAACUGCUGUCMGGGUUUACUAAGUUCUGAAGAGACCCAAAGGAAGGGCCGGCUAACUCUGUGCCAGCAGCCGCGGUAAUACAGAGGGCCCGAGCGUUGCGCGGAAUCACUGGGCUUAAAGCGUACGUAGGCGGAUGUGAAGGUACCUUGUGAAAGCCCCCGGCUCAACCGGGGAAUUGCUCGGUAAACCACAUAUCUUGAGGUCGGUAGGGGUCGUCGGAACGCUGGGUGGAGCGGUGAAAUGCGUAGAUAUCCAGCGGAACGCCAAAGGCGAAGGCAGACGACUGGGCCGAUUCUGACGCUGAGGUACGAAAGCGUGGGUAGCGAACGGGAUUAGAUACCCCGGUAGUCCACGCCCUAAACGAUGUGCRUUAGGUCGUGGGAGUUCUGACACUUCCUCGAUCGAAGCGAAAGUGAUUAAUGCACCGCCUGGGGAGUACGGUCGCAAGGCUAAAACUCAAAGGAAUUGACGGGGGCUCACACAAGCGGUGGAGCAUGUGGCUUAAUUCGAAGCAACGCGAAGAACCUUAUCCUGGGCUUGACAUGUAUGGAUUAACUCUGUGAAAGCAGAGCCACGCCUUCGGGUGGAACAUACACAGGUGCUGCAUGGCUGUCGUCAGCUCGUGCUGUGAAGUGUCGGGUUAAGUCCCUUAACGAGCGCAACCCCCUGUCCUUAGUUG
rnacentral:rRNA from 1 species